rnacentral:lncRNA from 1 species
AUGUCCUCCAGCCCCGAGAGCUCCGGUCCACCGGCCCUCCUCUGGGCAGCGCCGAGCGUGGGAGCCAGCCAGAGGCCACCUCUCGGAACCCCAGAGUCCCCGCCGCAGCUCGCGCCCCCGAGGCCGGAGGGCGCCGUCCCCUCCGCCCGUACCCGCGGGCCACAACUCACCGCGCGCCGGCGAGCGCUCGGGGGCGCAGGGAGGCGGCGGCCGGAGGCUGGCGGCUCGCGGUGGCCGGAGCCCGGGCCGCGGCGGGCGGCUCUGACGCUGCGGACCGAUCCCGGCGAGGAGCCGCCCGGAGUCCCGGACGCAGCGGGAAGGAGCUGGCGGCCGCCCGGCCCGGGCUGCCUCCGAGCGCGCGGCGGGCGGCUGCUGCUCCGAGAGCGAGCCGGCGAGCUAGGGAGCGGCGGGAGGCUCGGUUCCGUCCGCCGCGGAGCUCGGCGUCCGAGCGCGAGGGAGAGUGGGAGCGGCUCCGGGAGCGGCGUCCGGCCGAGGGCUCCGCGCUGGGAAGGCAGUGGAGCGGGAGCCGAGCCGCGAGCGCCGCCGGCUGAGAUGCGGGCGCCCGGCGGCGCCGCGGCAGCCGCACGGCAGCAGGAGAAAAAGGAGAGCGAGCGAGAGAGCGCGCUGGAGAGCGAGCGAGCGAGAGAGGGAGCGGGAGACCGGAGAGCAGUGAAGACGCGAGAGGGGCGGGCUCCGGGACCACGAGGGCCGAGGGAGCCGCGGCGGCUCAGCCCCGCGCCCACGGCCGCGGCCGCGCUCGGGAAGGCGCGGGCCCGGCCCGCCAAGUUUGUGCGGCAGUGGGGCCCAGCGCGCGGCUUCCGCAGGCCUUUUAAAGAGGGAGCUGCCUGGGGCCCACCCCCGACCCCGCACCUCUCCGCUACAAGGCUGGGGCUCACCCCGCGCCCCGCCGCCCCUCCGCACCCGCCCCGCCUUCUGCUCCCUCUCCCACCACGCCCCACCGGCGCCCUCUCCUGGAAGCCCCCUUCUCCCGCCUCCUCCCGG